UCCUCCUCUCCUCCUUCACUUUUUCUUCUUCAGCGAAGAAGCAAACCCUAUCACCGCAACCGCCACUUUCUUCUUCAUUUUGCAUACAUAACUCUAUCAAAACAACCACCAUCUUCUUCUUUACUUCUUCUUUAGUUACUAACAUCUCAAUCUGAUUUUGGGUAAAGAAGAUUAGUUUUUUAGGGUUCUUAUUAUAUUGCAUGUAUGAUUAAACAACAUCAACAGAUGCAGAGAAAAUGGUUAUCAUUAAUUGUUAAUAAUUGAUGUUGCGAAGUUGAUUUGAUGAUGAAUCUGAAGUUUAGGGUUUCAUAAGAGGAAUUUAAAGAAGACUUGAAGAUGAAAUUGAAGGUAUGAAAGGGUGGGAAUCAAAAAAGGGUUUUUGAGAUUUGGGUUCUUAUUUAAAUUUAAUUGCAAGAGAGGAAACAUUGGUGGUGACUAAAAUCAAGUGUGAAGGAGUCUGCUGAAUUUAGUAGAACAUGGGAAUGGAUCAAAUUUGAUGGAUUUUGGUAAAGAAUCUAAAGAUGCAGAUCAGUUCUUGAUAAUGCUUGAUGGAUUUGGUGGUUUAUUUCUGUUUAUGUCUCUAUUCAAUUUCUUUUUAAUUAUGUUUAUGUCUCUAUGCAAACAAUCUUUUUAUUGUAUUUUUGUUCGAAUUCUUAGGAACCUAGAAAUGUUUAAAUUUUGUGAAUUUAAUAAGUUUGAUAGAUUGAUAUUGGGGUUGAAUU